CGCUGGGAUCCCAUAUGGCCACUAGAUCUAAUUCUAGCAGCCUGACUUUCAAUCCAGCUGCCUGCUUGUGGCCUGGGAAAGCAGUCAAGGACAGCCCAAAACCUUG